CCGACAAGCGGUGGAGCAUUGUGGUUUAAUUCGACGCAACGCGAAGAACCUUACCAGCUCUUGACAUGUCCAUUAUGGGUCUGAGAGAUCAAAUCCUUCGGUUCGGCCGGGUGGAACACAGGUGCUGCAUGGCUGUCGUCAGCUCGUGUCGUGAGAUGUUGGGUUAAGUCCCGCAACGAGCGCAACCCUCACCUUUAGUUGCUACCAGGUUAUGCUGGGCACUCUAGAGGAACCGCCGGUGAUAAGCCGGAGGAAGGCGGGAUGACGUCAAGUCCUCAUGGCCCUUACGGGCUGGGCUACACACGUACUACAAUGGUGGUGACAGUGGGAUGCGAAAGCGCGAGCUGGAGCGAAUCCCCAAAAGCCAUCUCAGUUCGGAUUGCACUCUGCAACUCGAGUGCAUGAAGUUGGAAUCGCUAGUAAUCGUGGAUCAGAAUGCCACGGUGAAUACGUUCCCGGGCCUU
rnacentral:rRNA from 1 species